AUUUCGAGAAAAUCUGAAAAUACAUUUUCUAUAUGUAUUUGUGCGUCAUUUUGGCCUUCUGGAGAGAAAGCAGAUUUCGUCGCGAAUCCGUGAUCGAUCAAGGUCAACCAAAAUCCUAGCUUUGUUGUCCCCGUCGUGCUGAUCGUACUGGUGUGAUCCGUUCGCAAAUCUGACGGACGGAUCUGUAGAGAUCGCGCGUUGAGCGAGGAGAGGUCGGCGAUGGCAAAACGGUAAUUUCGCAAAAGUUGCGACAUUUUAUGUACCGUUUCGCGG
rnacentral:lncRNA from 1 species